AUAUCAAUAAGCGGAGGAAAAGAAACCAACAGGGAUUGCCUCAGUAACGGCGAGUGAAGCGGCAACAGCUCAAAUUUGAAAUCUGGAGCCUUCGGCUUCCGAGUUGUAAUUUGAAGAGGAUGUUUCGGUUGCGGCUUGGGCCUAAGUUCCUUGGAACAGGACGUCAUGGAGGGUGAGAAUCCCGUAAAUGGCCCCCGGCUUGCUUCCAUGUGAAGCUCCUUCGAAGAGUCGAGUUGUUUGGGAAUGCAGCUCAAAAUGGGUGGUAAAUUUCAUCUAAAGCUAAAUAUUGGCGGGAGACCGAUAGCGCACAAGUAGAGUGAUCGAAAGAUGAAAAGCACUUUGAAAAGAGGGUUAAAUAGCACGUGAAAUUGUUGAAAGGGAAGCGCUUGUGACCAGACUUGCGCCGGGCAGAUCAUCCGGUGUUCUCACCGGUGCACUCUGCCCGGCUCAGGCCAGCAUCGGUUCUCGUGGGGGGAUAAAGGUCCCGGGAACGUAGCUCCUCCGGGAGUGUUAUAGCCCGGGGCGUAAUGCCCUCGUGGGGACCGAGGUUCGCGCAUCUGCAAGGAUGCUGGCGUAAUGGUCAUCAGCGA
rnacentral:rRNA from 1 species